ensembl:lncRNA
GGGGCAGCCGUCCCUGGACGAGCACCUGGAGCUGCGGGACAUCAACGCGGACCUGGCCAGCUUCCGCUCCACCUGGUCCAAGUACAUCCAGGAGAACAAGCAGAAGUGGAAGGAGCGGGCAGCCAGCGGAAUCACCAACCAAAUGUCCAUCGAGGAGCUGUCGCCGUGCGAGGAGGAGCUGCCGGCGCCCGAGAGCCGGCACAAGCAGAAUGGCAACGUGGAAUAGCACGAGGCGGGAGCGAGGUCCUCGUCCGACUGAGUGAUGCAGUUUAGUCCAAAGUCUUCGAUGCCAUCGAAUUCAGCACCAUUUGCAGGGAAGGAGCCGCCCGGGCCCGGGCUGAU